rnacentral:rRNA from 1 species
GACGAACGCUGGCGGCGUGCUUAACACAUGCAAGUCGAACGGAAAGGCCCUGCGUUUGUGGGGUGCUCGAGUGGCGAACGGGUGAGUAACACGUGAGUAACCUGCCCUUGACUUUGGGAUAACUUCAGGAAACUGGGGCUAAUACCGGAUAGGAGCUCCUGCUGCAUGGGGGGGGUUGGAAAGUUUCGGCGGUUGGGGAUGGACUCGCGGCUUAUCAGCUUGUUGGUGGGGUAGGGGCUUACCAAGGCUUUGACGGGUAGCCGGCCUGAGAGGGUGACCGGCCACAUUGGGACUGAGAUACGGCCCAGACUCCUACGGGAGGCAGCAGUGGGGAAUAUUGCACAAUGGGCGGAAGCCUGAUGCAGCAACGCCGCGUGCGGGAUGACGGCCUUCGGGUUGUAAACCGCUUUCGCCUGUGACGAAGCGUGAGUGACGGUAAUGGGUAAAGAAGCCCCGGCUAACUACGUG